AUGGCCCUGUUACCGACUGCAGAUUUUCCAAACCGGCAUGGUCUGCAUGCACACAAUAUGCUGCGCUGUGAUUAAGCAGUUCACGCAUCGUCUCGUUCAGCAUUCACAGCAAGAAGGGAUGACCCAAGAAAUCCCAACUGGCUGAGCGUUGGUCUAACUCUUGCUUCCACAGUAGCUAUAUGGGUUCUGAUCUUUAAGCAGCAUAACGACGAUACUAU